ACGGCACCUUCGGGUGUAGUGGCGGACGGGUUAGUAACGCGUGGGAACGUGCCCUUCUCUACGGAAUAGCCUCGGGAAACUGAGCGUAAUACCGUAUACGCCCUUUGGGGGAAAGAUUUAUCGGAGAAGGAUCGGCCCGCGUUGGAUUAGGUAGUUGGUGGGGUAAUGGCCUACCAAGCCUACGAUCCAUAGCUGGUUUGAGAGGAUGAUCAGCAACACUGGGACUGAGACACGGCCCAGACUCCUACGGGAGGCAGCAGUGGGGAAUCUUAGACAAUGGGGGCAACCCUGAUCUAGCCAUGCCGCGUGAGUGACGAAGGCCUUAGGGUCGUAAAGCUCUUUCGCUGGAGAAGAUAAUGACGGUAUCCAGUAAAGAAACCCCGGCUAACUCCGUGCCAGCAGCCGCGGUAAUACGGAGGGGGUUAGCGUUGUUCGGAAUUACUGGGCGUAAAGCGCGCGUAGGCGGAUUGGAAAGUUGGGGGUGAAAUCCCGGGGCUCAACCCCGGAACGGCCUCCAAAACUCCCAGUCUUGAGUUCGAGAGAGGUGAGUGGAAUUCCGAGUGUAGAGGUGAAAUUCGUAGAUAUUCGGAGGAACACCAGUGGCGAAGGC
rnacentral:rRNA from 1 species